rnacentral:rRNA from 1 species
AUUGAACGCUGGCGGCAGGCCUAACACAUGCAAGUCGAGCGGAUGAAGAGAGCUUGCUCUCUGAUUUAGCGGCGGACGGGUGAGUAAUGCCUAGGAAUCUGCCUGGUAGUGGGGGAUAACGUUCCGAAAGGAACGCUAAUACCGCAUACGUCCUACGGGAGAAAGCAGGGGACCUUCGGGCCUUGCGCUAUCAGAUGAGCCUAGGUCGGAUUAGCUAGUUGGUGAGGUAAUGGCUCACCAAGGCUACGAUCCGUAACUGGUCUGAGAGGAUGAUCAGUCACACUGGAACUGAGACACGGUCCAGACUCCUACGGGAGGCAGCAGUGGGGAAUAUUGGACAAUGGGCGAAAGCCUGAUCCAGCCAUGCCGCGUGUGUGAAGAAGGUCUUCGGAUUGUAAAGCACUUUAAGUUGGGAGGAAGGGCAGUAAGUUAAUACCUUGCUGUUUUGACGUUACCGACAGAAUAAGCACCGGCUAACUUCGUGCCAGCAGCCGCCGUAAGAC